ensembl:snRNA U6 U6 spliceosomal RNA
UUGCUUGCCUGGGCAGCACAUGUACUAAAGUUAGAAGGAUACAGAGAAAAAUAGCAUGGCCCUCUGCAACGCUGGCACACAAAUUUAUGAAACAUUUUAUACUUUU